GCUGGGCGUGGUGGCACACACCUGUAAUCCCAGUGGCUUGGGAGGCUGAGACAGGAGGACUGAGUUCAAAACCAGCCUCAGAAACCGCAAGGCACUAAGCAACUCAGUGAGACCCUAUCUCUA
rnacentral:sRNA from 1 species